rnacentral:rRNA from 1 species
UACGUAGGCAGCAAGCGUUGUUCGGAGUUACUGGGCGUAAAGGGUGCGUAGGCGGCCUGCUGCGUCGGUGCUGAAAGCGCCCGGCUUAACCGGGCGAGGCGUGCCGAUACGAGCGGGCUGGAGCCUUGGCGAGGGUGGCGGAACUCCUGGUGUAGUGGUGAAAUGCGUAGAGAUCAGGAAGAACACCCGUGGCGCAAGCGGCCACCUGGCCAAGAGCUGACGCUGAGGCACGAGAGCGUGGGGAGCGAACCGG